CUUCGGGGAACGUUAACGGCGUCGAGCGGCGGACGGGUGAGUAAUGCCUGGGAAAUUGCCCUGAUGUGGGGGAUAACCAUUGGAAACGAUGGCUAAUACCGCAUAAUAGCUUCGGCUCAAAGAGGGGGACCUUCGGGCCUCUCGAACGUCAGGAUAUGCCCAGGUGGGCCAUUAGCUAGUUGGUGAGGUAAGGGCUCACCAAGGCGUUACGAUCCCUAGCUGGUCUGAGAGGAUGAUCAGCCACACUGGAACUGAGACACGGUCCAGACUCCUACGGGAGGCAGCAGUGGGGAAUAUUGCACAAUGGGCGCAAGCCUGAUGCAGCCAUGCCGCGUGUAUGAAGAAGGCCUUCGGGUUGUAAAGUACUUUCAGCAGUGAGGAAGGCCCGGAGUCGUUAAUAGCGGCCUCGUUUGACGUUAGCUGCAGAAGAAGCACCGGCUAACUCCGUGCCAGCAGCCGCGGUAAUACGGAGGGUGCGAGCGUUAAUCGGAAUUACUGGGCGUAAAGCGCAUGCAGGUGGUUUGUUAAGCCUUUGGGGGAAAACCCGGUU
rnacentral:rRNA from 1 species